rnacentral:rRNA from 1 species
AAGGGUGAUGGCGACUGACCCUGGAGCGCAGAGAAGUGAGAAUGCAGACAUGAGUAACGAUAAGAGCGGUGAAAUCCCGCUCCGCCGUAAAUCCAAGGUUUCCCGGGCAACGUUUUUCGUCCCGGGGUUAGUCGGGACCUAACCCGAGGCCGAUGGGCGUAGGGGAUGGUAAGCAGGUUAAUAUUCCUGCACCCAGUAAGGAGGACGCAUAAUGAAAAGCUACUAGGUUAUUGAAUUCCGAGGCGAGGCUUAGGCCGGACCGUAUAGCUGGACAGAGUGCCAAGAAAAGCCCUUACAUUAAUGGCCCGUACCGUAAACCGACACAGGUGGAUGGGUAGAAUAUACCAAGGCGCAAGAGUGAAACCUGGUCAAGGAACUCGGCAAAAUAGCCCCGUAACUUCGGAAGAAGGGGUGCCCCCUCUGGGGGGCCGCAGUGAAAUGGCCCAACCGACUGUUUAGCAAAAACACAGCAUUGUGCUAAGGCGUAAGCCGACGUAUACGAUGUGACACGUGACCAAUGCCAAAAGAUUACGGUAAGAUGUUAGCACUUUAGUGCGAAGCUUCGAGCCCAAGUCCUGGUGAAUGUCGGCCGUAACUAUAACGGUCCUAAGGUAGCGAAAUUCCUUGUCGGGUAAGUUCCGACCUGCACGAAUCGUGCAACGAGUUGGGCGCUGUCUCGACCAGGUGCUCAGUGAAAUUGUAGUUCCGGUGAAGAUGCCGGACACCCGCAGAAGGACGGAAAGACCCUAUAGACCUUAACUGUAAGCUGUUAUUGGUUGUUCGAUCUUAAUGCUCAGCAUAAGUGGGAGACAUUGAAGGGUGCGUUUAGGCGCAUCUGGAGUCAUCAGUGAGAUACCACCCUUUAAUAUUGGAUAAUCUAACCCCGAGCCGUCAUCCGGCCGUGGGGACAAUGGCAGCCGGUCAGUUUUACUGGGGCGGUAUCCUCCUAAAGAGUAACGGAGGAGCGCGAAGGUGGGCUCAGCACAGUUGGCAACUGUGUGUUGAGUGUAAAGGCACAAGCCCGCCUAACUGUGAGACCUACAAGUCGAGCAGAUACGAAAGUAGGCCUUAGUGAUCCGGCGGUAGAAUGUGGAAUUGCCGUCGCUCAACGGAUAAAAGGUACCUUAGGGAUAACAGGCUUAUCACGCCCAAGAGUUCAUAUCGACGGCGUGGUUUGGCACCUCGAUGUCGGCUCGUCGCAUCCUGGGGCUGGAGAAGGUCCCAAGGGUCCGGCUGUUCGCCGGUUAAAGCGGCACGCGAGCUGGGUUCAGAACGUCGCGAGACAGUUCGGUCCUCUAUCCUCUGUGGGCGUAGGAAAAUUGAAGGGUUCAGACCUUAGUACGAGAGGACCGGGUUUGACGCACCUCUGGUGUUCCAGUUGUUCUGUCAAGGGCACUGCUGGGUAGCUAAGUGCGGAACGGAUAAGCGCUGAAAGCAUCUAAGCGCCAAGCCAUUCCUGAGAUAAAUUUUCCCUGAAGGAUCGUGGAAGACGACCACGUUGAUAGGCUGGGGGUAGAAGUGCAGCAAUGUAUGUAGCUCACCAGUACUAAUCAUCCGUUCGACUUAAUUCC